GGGACCCACCCCUGAUUUCUGUCCCCAGCCUCCCAUCUCUCUCUUCCUUCUUCUUCGUCUCUCUCCCCCGUAACUCUCCCUUAGCUCUCUCCCUCUCAGCUCUCCCGUACCUCUCUCCCUCAACCUCUCGCAUCUCUCUCUUCCCCCGGACUCACUAGGACCGAGUCACCAUCGAACAGAGGCUCGCAACGAACCCCGGACCCUGCCCUGCGAGUUCGACGGCACGGAGUAAGCUCCGGCGAGCACCGCCCAUUUCGAGGCCAUUUCCGGCCAAACAAAGCGAGUUGGCCGGCGUGUAAGGUAUCAAUCUCUUCGUCUCCUUGGGUACUACAACUUUCCUUUUUGUUUCACUCAAUUUCGUUGAGUAUUGAAGAAGUUAUACUCAUUUGAAUCUUACCCAGUUUCCGGCGAUUCCGACGGCUUUCGAGGCAUU
rnacentral:lncRNA from 1 species